rnacentral:lncRNA from 1 species
GCUUCGUGCUUCUCCCCUUGGCUGCCACGUCUCCCUCCCAUCCCUCCCUCCUCCGGGCCUCCUCUGUCACUGCAGCCUUCAGCCGGGGAUGGAUGGGAGCGGCCUGCGGCUCUGUGCCGAAGCACAGGUCCUGCCUGUCCUGUCUUCCAAGGCGCUAAAUCACCCCUCUGCCUCCGCCCCCGGGGGCCGCAGCCUCUAUCUCCUGCAUCAACGCGUCCCCCGUGCUCCAUCAGGGCUCUGGGUUCUGCAGCAAAUCCUUUGUCUCCAGCUUCAAUCCCUCCCGACGCCCAGUUCAAUCAUCCUCAGCGCCAGCGCCGGGCUGAGCUCUGCUCUAGCCCUCCCUGUUGGUUCUGCCCCCUGAUGGCCCUGCCCUGGUCCUGCCGUCUGCUCCAGCAGACCCCCUCACCCCUAGCCACCCCAGAUGAAAGCCCACCACUUCCUGCUGCCCCUCCGCUUGUUCCCCAGCCACCCUCCCUUGCACCACAUUCUACCACCCAAUGUGCUUGACUGGGCCUGUGCAAGCCACUUUCUGAAACUGAGAGAGGCCGGGAGGCAGGGCGAGGUGGCCUGGAAAGUGCAGAGGCUGUCUGUGGUGUUACUGCCUGGGGACCGGAGGCCUUUGUGCCCUCCUUCCCCCAGCUCAAGAGAAGUGGCCUUUCUAGAGCA